CGUGGUGAGCCGGGAGCCUCAGGAAGCCGAAGGAGCAAAACCUCACCUCUCCCCUCCCACGGCGCCGGGAGGAGCCGCCCCUUUCACCGCUGGAACAGCCCAAGCCGGGCGGAGUUUCCGUGAUGACCUGGAGGAGGAGAAAUCUCUUCCCGUGUGCUCAGAGUGAGGAAUAUCCCGAGGGAUUGUCCCUGCCCGAGGGGCUGCAGGGAUUAGCGGACACAAACGUUGAGGAUCUGGGUAAAUUCUGCUCUCAGGAGCUCCUGGAAUGUGUGUGUGCCUCCCUCCCUCCCUUGGGCCACGCUCCGCUCCGGAGGCUCCGAGGAGGUGAGGAACAGCCAGGAGUGGGAGCAGGAAUUGCCAGGCUGCACUAAGCUGCUUUCGCUGGCUUAGUUGGGAGUAAAACCUGGUUGUAAGAGCUGCCAAAAAUAACAUCCCUGUGGGGCUCUGGCCUUCCAGGCCCUGCUGCCUCCACACAGCUUCCAGUGCCCCACCUGGGGCUGGGGGAGCUCAGCUUUUCCAGGGAUUCAUGGAAGAAAUGAGGCCGGGCCCCUCUACCCUGUUUCCUUCUCAGUGUUGUACCCAUAGGCUGAGCAUUCCCUGAGGAGAACCUCUGAAAAUCAGAGGAUGAAUCCCAGCAUGGUUUGAGUUGGGGAGGACCUUAAAGCCUGUCCAGUGCCAUGGGCAGGGACACCUUCCACUGUGCCAGGGUGCUCCAAGCCCUGUCCAGCCUGGCCUUGGACACUUGCAGGGAUGCAGCAGAUCCUCACCUUAUCCAGAGCCUGGAAUCCAUGAGCUUGCAGGAAACGUGCAGUAACAAUUCCCAGCACUGAUAUUUUGGGGCAAACUCUUUGUGUUUUUAGUGCUGUGCAGUCAGGAGUGCUGAGCUGCUCCAAGGCAAAUCCAGGUUUCCAAAGGAAUGGAAUGAUUCUGGGAGGAGUGGAGAUGAUGCUGAGAGCCACGAGCAGCCCCUGGGAAACUCCUGAUCCUGCUGGAUUUGCCUUUGGGAACAAGGAGCUGGGAUCAGAGGCUGGAGCUGGGACUGUGCUCCCUCCCAGCUGUGAAACACAACCUGGCUGUGUUUUGGGGCAAACUCUUUGUGUUUUCAGUGCUCUGCAAUCAGAGGAGCUGCUCCAAGGCAAAUCCAGGUUUCCAAAGGAAUGGAAUGAUGCUGAGAGGAGUGGAGAUGAUGCUGAGAGCCACAAGGAGCCCCUGAUCCUGCUGGAUUUGCCUUUGGGAACAAGGAGCUGGGAUCAGAGGCUGGAGCUGGGACUGUGCUUCACCCAGCUGUGAAACACAGCCUGGCUGUGUUUUGGGGCAAACUCUGGGUUUUCAGUGCUCUGCAAUCAGAGGGGCUGCUCCAAGGCAAAUCCAGGUUUCCAAAGGAAUGGAAUCACCUCCCUUCUGGUGAUGAUUGGAGAUGAUGCUGAGA
rnacentral:lncRNA from 1 species